CCUACGGGAGGCAGCAGUGAGGAAUAUUGGUCAAUGGACGCAAGCCUGAACCAGCCAUGCCGCGUGCAGGAAGACGGCUCUAUGAGUUGUAAACUGCUUUUGUACGAGGGUAAACGCAGAUACGCGUAUCUGUCUGAAAGUAUCGUACGCAUAAGGAUCGGCUAACUCCGUGCCAGCAGCCGCGGUAAUACGGAGGAUUCAAGCGUUAUCCGGAUUUAUUGGGUUUAAAGGGUGGGUAGGCGGGCGGUUAAGUUAGGGGUGAAAUCCCGAGGCUCAACUUCGGAAUUGCCUCUGAUACUGUUCGGCUAGAGAGGAGUUGCAGUAGGCGGAAUGUAUGGUGUAGCGGUGAAAUGCUUAGAGAUCAUACAGAACACCGAUUGCGAAGGCAGCUUACCGGGCUACUUCUGACGUUGAGGCACGAAAGCGUGGGGAGCGAACAGGAUUAGAUACCCGAGUAGUC
rnacentral:rRNA from 1 species